UAGAGAACACCGGGCAAAUCGCACAUCCCCGUGGUGGCGACGACUUUGCAUGCGGAUGUCGUCCAUAUCAACUUUCAAUGCCAGUUUCUGCGCCUACCAUGGUGACCACGGGUAACGGGGAAUCAGGGUUCCAUUCCGUACUGGGACCCUGAGAAACGUCUACCACAUGCAAGGAAGGCAGCAGGUGUGCAAAUGACCCACUCCCGAUGCGGGAAGGUAGUGA